GGCAAGAUGGCCGAGUGGUCUAAGGCGCUAGAAUCAGGUUGCUUACCUAAUCUAGUCUUCGGGCGUGGGUUCGAAUCCCACUCUUGUCA